ACGCGGAGUUGUUUUGAACGUGAACGAAGCUUUCAAGUUGAAACACGUUAAAUAACGUUCGUGCACCGCAAACCUGGGCUGCGUUUCCAAGCGAACUCAGAGUUGCCAACAGAGUUCAAUAAUAACGAUGCUUUCGGGAAACGCCCCCUGAGCGUGAUUGUUGCUCCGCGCAUGCGCAUUAGCGUUCUCUUUGAUCCUGGGGAAUUUGAAAAAGUUGUUUUUCCAAGGUAAGGUUUUCACUUCACCAGUUGCUUAUUAUGGGUACAUUGGUCAUGGGUUUGAUUGAUGAAACAAAGAGUGAAUUAAUCAUUAAACAAUAAAACAGUUUUGAUUUUGUGUGAAAAUGAUUUUUAUCCACUUUGUAAAAGUGCCUGACGUCAUUCAACAAACAGUUUUGCUCCUUGUGAUGUUUUAUUUCAAAGGCUUCUUGUUUACCAGGAGAAAACAAGAUGAAUGUGUGAAAAAACAAAGAAAAAUGAAGAAGUGUCUGACUGAAACCUGUACCGGAAGUUUGUUGUGUCGCUGAUGUAACCGGCAGAUGGCGCUAGUGAUCUUCGCGAGCAACUGCAGACAUGUGCUGUGAUAUAAUCAGAUCUCAAACAUGGCACCACAAAGUGAGCAAAAUCAUUCAUUUAUACGCCCGUUUCCGCCGUAUGAGUAAAUAUUAUAACAUUAUAACACCCGUGAAGCUCAGAGCACGUCUCGGUGAUGUUUAGAGAAUCCCUUCAUCUGCAUUCAGAGAGAUGAUGCCAGCCGAUACUGUCUUCUGACUAGGACAAGCAUAAUAAGGUGUUGGAAAUAAUUAUGUCCUGGGGGACCAAAGCUAGUGAAAGCUUGUAUUUUUCUAAACUGUUCAUUGAAUAUAUCCAAGAAGCGAACGCUGAACUGAGCAGGAAAGUGACACAGUCAAAGAUGUUUAGCUCUUCCCACGGCAGUAUUGAAAUGCAGACAAUAAACCACAUGUUAAUGUAGGAGUGACGGGAUGCAGACGAGCUCUGGGACGGAUCAUAGAGUAGAUACAGCAGUAAAGUCAGUCAGAAAGACUGAAGAUGUUCUCUUCACCUGAACGCUGGUGUGCUGCAGCUGAAGCGAAACUCUCUGUCAUGGACUGCAUUGCAGGGUGAGAGUGGCCAUUUUGUUGGAAGCUGUGAGAUUCACAAUAGCUGUAUAUCAUGAUGUGUAUUGAGAUAAUCACUGGAGGACGGUAACUCAUUCAUUACUCAAAGAGGCUAAGCUGUUCUUUUAAUAGCCUGAAUCUUGAUAAUUCUGUAAAAAACAAUAUUUUUCCUCGAUAGCUUGCAGCAGCAACACUCAUUUCUCCCGAUCAAAAGAUGGCAUAUUUUCAGUACUAAAACAUCUUGUAAGAUUUCAAUUGUUCUGUUUUGUGAUCGGCGUGUCGAUCAUCUCAGGAGAACGUCACCUACUGUCUCUGAUUGAAUGUUUUUACAAGAUCCCAAAGCCUAUUGGAAAUGAUGUCAAAUAUUUAUUUUUCCUAGAACAGCUUUUGUGAAGAACAGAUCUACGCUGCAUAAUUCAGCGUCAGAA